GGGGUGCAGCAGGCGCGAAACCUUUGCAAUGCGCGAAAGCGUGACAGGGGAAAUCUGAGUGGCNAGAACUUAGUUCUCGUCUUUUGCCAAGUGCAAAUAGCUUGGAGAAUAAGGGUGUGGGCAAGACUGGUGCCAGCCGCCGCGGUAACACCAGCGCCUCGAGUGGUACCCACGANUAUUGGGCCUAAAGCGUCCGUAGCCGGNCCAUUAAGUCCGNUGUGAAAUGUUGGGGNUCAACCCUAACGCUUNCAGUGGAUACUUUUGGUCUUGGGAAUGGGGGAGGNUCGGGGUACUUCCAGGGUAGGGGUAAAAUCCGUUGAUCCCGGAAGGACCACCAGUGGCGAAGGCUCNGAUCCAAAACAUAUCCGCCGGUGAGGGACGAAAGCUGGGGGAGCAAACGGGAUUANNUACCCCCGUANUCNCACCUUUAAAUNNUCCAGACNUUUGGUNUUCCCUAUGAGUAAUCAUAGGCCAGUGCUGUAGGCGUAGGUGUUAAGUNUGCCGCCCUGGGAGUACG
rnacentral:rRNA from 1 species